AUUGAACGCUGGCGGCAGGCUUAACACAUGCAAGUCGAGCGGGGGAAGGUAGCUUGCUACUGGACCUAGCGGCGGACGGGUGAGUAAUGCUUAGGAAUCUGCCUAUUAGUGGGGGACGACAUCUCGAAAGGGAUGCUAAUACCGCAUACGUCCUACGGGAGAAAGCAGGGGAUCUUCGGACCUUGCGCUAAUAGAUGAGCCUAAGUCGGAUUAGCUAGUUGGUGGGGUAAAGGCCUACCAAGGCGACGAUCUGUAGCGGGUCUGAGAGGAUGAUCCGCCACACUGGGACUGAGACACGGCCCAGACUCCUACGGGAGGCAGCAGUGGGGAAUAUUGGACAAUGGGGGAACCCUGAUCCAGCCAUGCCGCGUGUGUGAAGAAGGCCUUAUGGUUGUAAAGCACUUUAAGCGAGGAGGAGGCUACUUUAGUUAAUACCUAGAGAUAGUGGACGUUACUCGCAGAAUAAGCACCGGCUAACUCUGUGCCAGCCGCCGCGGUAAGAC
rnacentral:rRNA from 1 species